rnacentral:tRNA from 1 species
AUUACUUUGGCAGAAUAGUGCAUUGAAUUUAGAAUUCAAGUAUGUAAUUUUUUUACAGGUAAUA